rnacentral:rRNA from 1 species
GUCCUUUAGUUAAAUAUAAUUUAAGGUCUAACCUGCCCAUUGAUAAAUUUAAAAGGCCGCAGUAAUUUGACUGUGCAAAGGUAGCAUAAUCAUUAGUUUUUUAAUUAAAAGCUUGUAUGAAUGGUUGGACGAGAUAAAAUCUGUCUCUUAAUAAAAAUUAGAAUUUAAUUUUUAAGUUAAAAAGCUUAAAUAAAAAUAAAAGACGAGAAGACCCUAUAGAUCUUUAUAUAAUUUUUUUUAGUAUUAAUUUAGAAAAUUUUAUUUAUUAGAAAAAAUUUUAUUUUAUUGGGGUAAUAAAAAGAUUAAAAAAAUUCUUUUUAAUUUAACAGUAAUUAUUGAUUAAUUGAUCCAUUAUUAAUGAUUAAAAGAUUAAGUUACCUUAGGGAUAACAGCGUAAUUUUUUUAAAGAGUUCUUAUCAAUAAAAAAGUUUGCGA